AACUCACUGGAGCCAGUAAGUGAACCAACAACCAAUUGAGAUCAUAAACAUGACAUAAGCAAAGUAAGUGAAUAAACAAACAUAAAAGAUCGUCAUCUCCAUGACAACAAAGUAAGUGAAUCAACAACAAUAUGAAAUACUAAUCGUUUAAAUCAUAGUUGUGGUGAACGCAAAGUACGUUACGUUAAACAACAAACAUAUAUCACUUCAUAAUUGUGAAGUUAGAAAUUAACAACAAUAUGAGUUCAAAAUCGUGAAACAAAAAAGCAAAGAUAGUGUUCUAAAAAGCAAACAAACUAUAAAUCAUAAUCAUAUUAAUCAUAAAUUUGAUGUUCGGACCGUUUGUGGUCCAACGAUGAAAUAAUAAUGUACUAAAUAUAUGUUCAAUGGAACAAAUUAAUUAUAACACGCUAUGUGCAAUAAGAUCUAAAUAUAUUCAUACCUGAAUCGUAAAUGAUGUAAUAUCAAUGUAAUCAAAACUAAUAUGUAAUAUUAAAUAAUAAUUAAAUAAUGUAAAAAUAAAUAUAUAUAUAUAUAGUGAAAGCAUAUAAUGCAGAACUUUAAAACUUGAAUACAAUAUUCAUCUUGAACGCAAUAGUGUAUGAAUACACCAAAGAAAUAACAUGUGAUGCCCAUCACUAAGAAGAAUUAUAAAUAAUCGUAAAUAUAUUAAAGGGCAUCACUUACAAGAAGUCAGCUUAUGGGGUGACUGCAGUCUCCAGUGAG
rnacentral:lncRNA from 1 species